GAUGAACGCUGACAGAAUGCUUAACACAUCAGCAAUUGAUUGGUGGCGGACGGGUGAGUAACGCGUAAAGAACUUGCCUCACAGCUAGGGACAACAUUUGGAAACGAAUGCUAAUACCUAAUACUGUGAGAGAGCUUUGCGUCCCAUUAGCUAGUUGGAGAGGUAACGGCUCACCAAGGCGAUGAUGGGUAGCCGGCCUGAGAGGGGGAUCGGCCACAAGGGGACUGAGACCCCGCCAUUAGGCCUAAGGGAGGCAGCAGUGGGAAAUAUUUGCAAAUGGACCAAAGUCUGAUCCAGCCAUUCUGUGUGCACGAUGAAGUUUUCGGAAUGUAAAGUGCUUUCAGUUGGAAAGCGUUACCAACAGAAGAAGGGACGGCUAACUCCGUGCCAGCAGCCGCGGUAAUAC
rnacentral:rRNA from 1 species